rnacentral:lncRNA from 10 species
GCCCGGGUCCCCUUCCACACUGUGGAAGCUUUGUUCUUUCUCUCUUUGCAAUAAAGCUUGCUGCUGCUCACUCUUUGGGUCCACACUGCCUUUAUGAGCUGUAACACUCACCACGAAGGUCUGCAGCUUCACUCCUGAAGCCAGUGAGACCACAAACCCACCAGGAGGAACAAACUCCAGACGCACUGCCUUAAGAGCUGUAACACUCACCGUGGAGGUCUGCAGCUUCACUCCUGAGCCAGCAAGACCACGAACCCACCAGAAGGAAGAAACUCCGAACACAUCUGAACAUCAGAAGGAACAAACUCCGGACACGCCGCCUUUAAGAAAUAUAACACUCACCAUAAGGGUCUGCGGCUUCAUUCUUGAAGUCAGUGAGACCAAGAACCCACCAAUUCUGGACACAUUUUGGUGACCACGAAGGGACCAUCGCCUAUCGCCAAGCAGUGAGACUAUCGCCAAGUGGUGAGACCAUCGCCUAUCACUGAGCGGAGAGAUUAUCGCCUAUCGCCAAGCAGGAUGAGAUUUCACCAUGUUGCCCGAUCUGGUCUCAAACUCCUGAACUUAAGUGAUCUGCCCACCUUGACCUCCCAAAGUGCUGGGAUUACAGGCAUGAACUGCCACACCUGGCCAGGAUCAGUGCCACAAGUCACACCGAGUUGAUGCUGCAAGUAUGUUCUGCGAUUAAGCUUCUAAUAUCCAUCAAGCAAGAAGAAAAAAACAAAAGAGAAAGGAGAGGAAAUUUAUCCUGGAAAAUAAUAAUAAAACACUGAAUGACUUUGAAGUGUGAUACUUAAUAAAGGAAAUGUGUGAAAAUUGAGGCAAAGACAUUUUGGGUGGGUGAAUUUGCUCUGGAAUAGCAGCUGUUAAUUUGAAUUUUAGCUCUAUGUAGUAGGUUUCACAUAAUGCAAAACAGUGUUUCCCCUAAUAUAUUAGUACAAGCAAAAAUGCAUGUUGUUAAUAUGAGUGCUCUAGUUAAGACACCUGUGUGAGCUCUGGUUUUCUCCCAGAUGCCCCAGUCAGUAAUGCAUAACAUGUUGGCCCAUAUGGAAAUUGUAAGCUUUCUGUUCAACAGUACUGCUUUCUAGAUGAACUCCCAGUACACUCUGGAAUUUAGUAACUUGAACUCUGUAGGAUGCUGUUGGUCUUAUCUGUCCUUAACUACCUGACUCAGUGUCCUGGAAUGCUUGUGAGAAGGCAAUCCACACUGUAGACCCCAGAGAUUACUCAACCCAGUGCUACUCAAAGUGUGGUCCACAGACUGGUGCCAGUACACAAAAAUAUUGGUUUCCAGUAUAAUAAGGCAGGCAUAGAAAUUGAAAAUAAGCUUUGAUACGUGUAUAUAGCAAUUUGACAGAAUACUUUUAUGUCUGUUGAAUAAUUAAAA